rnacentral:rRNA from 1 species
UUGAUCCUGCCGGACCCGACUGCUAUCAGAGUAGGACUAAGCCAUGCGAGUCAACGCCGCAAGGCGUGGCAUACGGCUCAGUCACACGUAGUCAACAUGCCCAAAGGACGUGGAUAACCUCGGGAAACUGAGGAUAAACCGCGAUAGGCCAAGGUUUCUGGAAUGAUCCCUGGCCGAAAUCUAUAUGGCCUUUGGAUUGGACUGCGGCCGAUCAGGCUGUUGGUGAGGUAAUGGCCCACCAAACCUGUAACCGGUACGGGCUUUGAGAGAAGGAGCCCGGAGAUGGGCACUGAGACAAGGGCCCAGGCCCUAUGGGGCGCAGCAGGCGCGAAACCUCUGCAAUAGGCGAAAGCCUGACAGGGUUACUCUGAGUGAUGCCCGCUAAGGGUAUCUUUUGGCACCUCUAAAAAUGGUGCAGAAUAAGGGGUGGGCAAGUCUGGUGUCAGCCGCCGCGGUAAUACCAGCACCCCGAGUUGUCGGGACGAUUAUUGGGCCUAAAGCAUCCGUAGCCUGUUCUGCAAGUCCUCCGUUAAAUCCACCUGCUCAACGGAUGGGCCGCGGAGGAUACCGCAGAGCUAGGAGGCGGGAGAGGCAAACGGUACUCAGUGGGUAGGGGUAAAAUCCAUUGAUCUACUGAAGACCACCAGUGGCGAAGGCGGUUUGCCAGAACGCGCUCGACGGUGAGGGAUGAAAGCUGGGGGAGCAAACCGGAUUAGAUACC